GCCCACUUGGCGGAAACGGUAGACGCACCGGACUUAAAAUCCGUUGGCCGCAAGGCCGUGCCGGUUCAAGUCCGGCAGUGGGCA
rnacentral:tRNA from 1 species